GGUGAGUAAUACUUAGGAAUCUGCCUAUUAAUGGGGGACAACAUCUCGAAAGGGAUGCUAAUACCGCAUACGCCCUACGGGGGAAAGCAGGGGAUCACUUGUGACCUUGCGUUAAUAGAUGAGCCUAAGUCGGAUUAGCUAGUUGGUGGGGUAAAGGCCUACCAAGGCGACGAUCUGUAGCGGGUCUGAGAGGAUGAUCCGCCACACUGGGACUGAGACACGGCCCAGACUCCUACGGGAGGCAGCAGUGGGGAAUAUUGGACAAUGGGGGGAACCCUGAUCCAGCCAUGCCGCGUGUGUGAAGAAGGCCUUAUGGUUGUAAAGCACUUUAAGCGAGGAGGAGGCUCCUGUAGUUAAUACCUACAGUGAGUGGACGUUACUCGCAGAAUAAGCACCGGCUAACUCUGUGCCAGCAGCCGCGGUAAUACAGAGGGUGCGAGCGUUAAUCGGAUUUACUGGGCGUAAAGCGUGCGUAGGCGGCUUUUUAAGUCGGAUGUGAAAUCCCCGAGCUUAACUUGGGAAUUGCAUUCGAUACUGGGAAGCUAGAGUAUGGGAGAGGAUGGUAGAAUUCCAGGUGUAGCGGUGAAAUGCGUAGAGAUCUGGAGGAAUACCGAUGGCGAAGGCAGCCAUCUGGCCUAAUACUGACGCUGAGGUACGAAAGCAUGGGGAGCAAACAGGAUUAGAUACCCUGGUAGUCCAUGCCGUAAACGAUGUCUACUAGCCGUUGGGGCCUUUGAGGCUUUAGUGGCGCAGCUAACGCGAUAAGUAGACCGCCUGGGGAGUACGGUCGCAAGACUAAAACUCAAAUGAAUUGACGGGGGCCCGCACAAGCGGUGG
rnacentral:rRNA from 1 species